rnacentral:rRNA from 1 species
UACAGAGGUCCCAAGCGUUGUUCGGAUUUACUGGGCGUAAAGGGUGCGUAGGUGGUCGGGUAAGUCUCAUGUGAAAUCCCGCAGCUUAACUGCGGAACGGCAUGGGAUACUAUUCGGCUCGAGGAUUGGAGGGGGACUGGAAUUCCCGGUGUGAGCAGUGAAAUGCGUAGAUAUCGGGAGGAACACCAGUGGCGAAGGCGAGUCCCUGGACAAUUCCUGACGCUGAGGCACGAAAGCCAGGGGAGCAAACAGG